CAAGAGUACGUGAAACUGCUUAGAGGUUAAACCCGAUGAACCUGAAUAUCCAUUAUGGAAAAUUCAAUGCUAAUAAUAUGAUAUAAAUAAUAUUAUAAAAAUAGUGUGCAAUUUUUCCAUAUAAGGACAUUGUAAUCUGUUAAUGUAAUAAAUAUUUAUCAAAAGAUUUUUAACUUAAGUUUAUUUAAAUUGUUUAUUUUCGGAUAUUCAACAUAAAAUAAAUGUUUUAAAUCAGAUAAAUCAUUGACAGAUAUAAUUAUAUAAAGUGCUUAAAUUUUUCGGAAUUUUACAAUGGUAGAUAGAUCUAUUGAUUUGUUUAUUUAAUUGUUUGCGCUUUUAUGAUUAACAAUGCGAUAGAUUCAGGAUACCUUCGGGACCCGUCUUGAAACACGGACCAAGGAGUCUAACAUAUGUGCAAGUCAUUGGGUAUUAAAAAACCUAAUGGCAUAAUUAACUUAACUGUUUUUUAUAUGGGAUUAAUUUAAAAUUUGUCAUGAAUUAUUUAUUCAAUCCCGGGGCGUUCUAUAUAGUUAUGUAUAAUGAUAUUUAUAUUAUUUAUACCUCUAACUAGAGCGUACCUUGAGCAUAUAUGCUGUGACCCGAA
rnacentral:rRNA from 1 species